CGAGACCACAUGGGGAGUCUUCGGGCUGAGAACAGAUUCGAUCUGGACCCAUGGAACCUGUCGGAUCAUGCCGGCGCAGGGAUGUGGAUUUCCUUCUCU
rfam:Domibacillus iocasae strain DSM 29979 DSM29979_contig_7, whole genome shotgun sequence.